rnacentral:rRNA from 1 species
CAUAGCGACUAUCGUGGCAUAUCAAUAAGCGGAGGAAAAGAAACUAACAAGGAUUCCCUUAGUAACGGCGAGUGAAGCAGGGAAGAGCUCAAAUUUGAAAUCUUCAAGGUUCUACCUUGACGAAUUGUAGUUUAUAGAAGUGUUUUCUGUUAGUGGAGUGGCAAAAGUUCUUUGGAAUAGGACAUCAUAGAGGGUGAGAAUCCCGUAUUUGGUCAUUCCUCCUAGCGUUGUGAUACACUUUCAACGAGUCGGAUUGUUUGGGAAUGCAGUCCAAAAUGGGUGGUAAAUUUCAUCUAAAGCUAAAUAUUGGCGAGAGACCGAUAGCGAACAAGUACCGUGAGGGAAAGAUGAAAAGAACUUUGAAAAGAGAGUUAAACAGUACGUGAAAUUGUCAAAAGGGUAGCGUUUGACACCAGUGUUGGUUUUCCGAAAAUCAAUUACGAAUGUUUUGUUUUUGAGGAGUUAUGACUUCAUCGGCUUGCUCCUUUCUUUAUGAAACUUUCUUAAUGCACUUUUCGGUUAACAAGUCAACAUCAAUUUCUUUUGUUGUAAAAGGGUAUGAGGAAGGUGGCUUUCUUUUCGGAGAAAGUGUUUAUAGCCUUGUGCCUCUGCAAUCGGAGAGAUUGAGGUCUGCAGCGUAGAUCCUUCGGGGUUAGAUACGUUUGUGCUAAGUUAUAGCUUUUCAUAGACAACUUGUUGACUAUGUUUAGUCUUGUAGCUUACUCGCUGACGCUAUUUUACCUACGCUUAGGAUGUUGACGAGACUGUCGAUCUC